rnacentral:rRNA from 1 species
GACGAACGCUGGCGGCGUGCUUAACACAUGCAAGUCGAGCGGUAAGGCCCUUUCGGGGGUACACGAGCGGCGAACGGGUGAGUAACACGUGGGUGACCUGCCCUCAGCUCUGGGAUAAGCCUGGGAAACCGGGUCUAAUACCGGAUAUGACUCCAUGACGCAUGUUGUGGGGUGGAAAGCCUUGUGCGGCUGAGGAUGGGCCCGCGGCCUAUCAGCUUGUUGGUGGGGUGAUGGCCUACCAAGGCGACGACGGGUAGCCGGCCUGAGAGGGCGACCGGCCACACUGGGACUGAGACACGGCCCAGACUCCUACGGGAGGCAGCAGGUGGGGAAUCUUGCGCAAGUGGGCGAAAGCCUGACGCAGCGACGCCGCGUGAGGGAUGACGGCC